rnacentral:rRNA from 1 species
GUUUACUUCGAGGAUAGCGGCGGACGGGUGAGUAACGCGUGGAUAAUCUGCCUGUAAGACAGGGAUAACGCCGGGAAACCGGUGCUAAUACCCGAUAACCUCUUUGGAUCGCAUGAUUCGAAGAGAAAAGGUGGCCUCUUUACAANNNNNNNNNNNNNCCGCGUCCUAUCAGGUAGUUGGUGGGGUAAAAGCCUACCAAAGCGACGACGGGUAGCCGGCCUGAGAGGGUGAACGGCCACACUGGGACUGAGACACGGCCCAGACUCCUACGGGAGGCAGCAGUGGGGAAUCUUCCGCAAUGGGCGAAAGCCUGACGGAGCAACGCCGCGUGAGCGAAGAAGGUCUUCGGAUUGUAAAGCUCUGUGAUAUUGGACGAACAAUUUCCCGUAAAUAAUGGGAAGGAAUGACGGUACAAUAAGAGGAAGCCACGGCUAACUACGUGCCAGCAGCCGCGGUAAUACGUAGGUGGCAAGCGUUAUCCGGAAUUAUUGGGCGUAAAGGGUGCGUAGGCGGUUUAUUAAGUCUAUGGUGAAAGUGCGGGGCUCAACCCCGUAUGGCCAUAGAAACUGAUAGACUUGAGUGCAGGAGAGGGCAAUGGAAUUCCAUGUGUAGCGGUAAAAUGCGUAGAUAUAUGGAGGAACACCAGUGGCGAAGGCCGGUUUCCUGGCCUGUAACUGACGCUGAGGCACGAAAGCGUGGGGAGCAAAUAGGAUUAGAUACCCUGGUAGUCCACGCUGUAAACGAUGAGUGCUAGGUGUCGGGGGUAUCGACCCCCUCGGUGCCACAGCUAACGCAAUAAGCACUCCGCCUGGGGAGUACGGCCGCAAGGUUGAAACUCAAAGGAAUUGACGGGGGCCCGCACAAGCGGUGGAGUAUGUGGUUUAAUUCGACGCAACGCGAAGAACCUUACCAAGGCUUGACAUCCCGUGACAGCCAUGGAAACAUGGUCUUGCAAGUUUACUUGCCCGGAGACAGGUGGUGCAUGGUUGUCGUCAGCUCGUGUCGUGAGAUGUUGGGUUAAGUCCCGCAACGAGCGCAACCCCUGUGUUUAGUUGCUAACGCGUAGUGGCGAGCACUCUAGACAGACUGCCGGUGAUAAACCGGAGGAAGGUGGGGAUGACGUCAAAUCAUCAUGCCCCUUAUGUUCUGGGCUACACACGUGCUACAAUGGCCGGUACAGACGGAAGCGAAGCCGCGAGGUGAAGCAAAACCGAGAAAGCCGGUCUCAGUUCGGAUUGCAGGCUGCAACUCGCCUGCAUGAAGUCGGAAUCGCUAGUAAUCGCAGGUCAGCAUACUGCGGUGAAUACGUUCCCGGGCCUUGUACACACCGCCCGUCACACCACGAAAGUCGGCAACACCCGAAGCCGGUGACUCAACCCGAAAGGGAGAGAGCCGUCGAAGGUGGGGUUGGUAAUUGGGGUGAAGUCGUAACA